rnacentral:rRNA from 1 species
GUCCACCACUUAUACGUGAAUCAUCGAGUUGUCGAACGCACCGCACCGCGCCCUAAUCCGGCUGCGGUAUGCCCCUUUGAGCGUCAUUGUAUCCCUUCGGGAGUCUUUUCAUCGAGACCCGAGUUCGGAGUCCUCGGUCUUUGGAUCGUGUUCUCUCAGAUGCGUCGCGCCGAUCGCCUGAUGGGUCGCUCUAAUGCCUAAGCGUGGAGUCCCUCGGAGCCCGAAACGCGCUUGACCGGGUGUUGAGCCCGCGUCGCCAAGUCCGCACGUCUUACGUGGCGGUACUACAACGCAUGACCUCAUUGGGGUAGGACAACCCGCUAGACUUAAGCAUAUUAAUCAGCGGAGGAAAAGAAACUAACCAGGAUUCCCUCAGUAACUGCGAGUGAAGCGGGACCGGCUCAAUGUGUGAAUCUGGCUUGGGGUAGAUCCCUGGUCCGAGUUGUGCACUAUGGACGUUUCGUCUGCGUUUGUAAUGGCGGUGGAAGUCCGUUGAAACACGGCACCUCAGAGGGUCACAGUCCUGUACCACCUGCCUGCACUCGCGCCAAUGACAAGCGCUCCUCGAGUCGCGUAGUUUUGUAAUGCUGCGCCAAGUGGGAGGUAGAGACCUUCUAAGGCUAAAUAUGAUGACGUGACCGAUAGCACACAAGUACCGCGAGGGAAAGGUGAAAAGCAACCAUGAAAAAUGGGUUGAAACAGCAGUGAAAGCGCUACCGGGAUAAGGGCUAUCGGGUGCUGGGGCUUCUUGGGUGUGCUUCAGUGCUACCCUUGGAGACGGCCCGCGUGGGUUGAUGUUGGGGCGAUAGACGCGUCGUUGGAAUUCAGCUGUCUUUGGGCAGUGUUGUAGCCUUCGGUUGCCGAUC